GCGUUGUCCGGAUUCAUUGGGCGUAAAGAGCUCGUAGGCGGCUUGUCAAGUCGGGUGUGAAACCUCCAGGCUCAACCUGGAGACGCCACUCGAGACUGUCAUGGCUAGAGUCCGGUAGGGGAUCACGGAAUUCCUGGUGUAGCGGUGAAAUGCGCAGAUAUCAGGAGGAACACCGAUGGCGAAGGCAGUGAUCUGGGCCGGUACUGACGCUGAGGAGCGAAAGCGU
rnacentral:rRNA from 1 species